CGAAGGUGCAAGCGUUACUCGGAAUUACUGGGCGUAAGCGUGCGUAGGUGGUUCGUUAAGUCUGAUGUGAAGCCCUGGGCUCAACCUGGGAAUGGCAUUGGAACUGGCGACCUAGAGUGCGGUAGAGGGUAGUGGAAUUCCCGGUGUAGCAGUGAAAUGCGUAGAGAUCGGGAGGAACAUCCGUGGCGAAGGCGACUACCUGGACCAGCACUGACACUGAGGCACGAAAGCGUGGGGAGCAAACAGGAUU
rnacentral:rRNA from 1 species